rnacentral:antisense_RNA from 3 species
CUUGAUCGACCCCAGAUACAGCGGUUCGCCCUCCCGGCCCUGGCCGUAGGUGGCCAGCAGCGCCUGCGCCUC